rnacentral:lncRNA from 1 species
UGGGAUUGGGUAGUUCCUCAGAUCCUCAGGUUGUUUCCUGAUGGUAGCCUCUGCCUGUUGAGGAUGUGGUUGGUCUCUUCUCAGCCAGAAGUGUGGUCUAAGGCUGGGUCUUUACAGUGGGAAGAGGAGGAAGAAUGGUAGAUGUUUGUUCAUGGCCUCAUAUGACCCUUUUAGCCGGAGCUCAAGGCGGUGGCCUGUGUCCAUGUCGUCUGAUUGUUCUCAACAUCCUGUUGUACAGAUAUGAUCUAGAUCCUCAACCCACUCUGGCUCCCAGGGCCAUCUUCAGUUCCAAGCCACUCUUCUGUGAGUUGGCUUGGGUUACCUUUACCCAUUCUGCUUUCUCACAAAAUGUAGUGUUACUUUUAACCUGUAGGAAAGAAAUAGCAGUACAGUUUUCUUGUGGUCACCGUAGUGACUGUUCUUACUCUAAAGGCUGGAGUUUGUCUGGUUGUCUGUCUAGUGGAGGACAGGAGGAAGGAUGUGACCAUACAAGGUCAGAGCAAAUAUUUAAGACUGGAAGGACAGGUAGGAGCUGCAAUAGGGAGCUUACAGAGAGAAGGCAGGGUGAGCGCUGACAGUGGCUUUUCCAAGGCCCUGGAGACACUGAUGAGUAUCAUCUCUUUAGGUUUCCACCGGUGGUAAGUUAUUUCCCAAACAUCAUUCAGACAUACUUGUUUGGCAUUGCUUCAUGUUUAAGUCACUCUCUAGGGAAAGACGAAAAAGACAAACCCCAGUGUUUGG